CGUUAUGUCGUUCUUAUAAUAUUUUGGAUUUUUUGAUAAAAAAAUUAAUUUUUCUGUACAGUAUUUGAGUGUAUUCUGUUCCUUAAGACUUCUUGAACCUCUUGAAAAUGAGCGUUUUUAGUAAUACACCAGCACCUAAAGAACAUCUAAAAGAAGAGACUUGUGGCACCCCUUGUAUAAUCCUGAUGUUUGGUCAUCAUUCUGGUUUACGAGUUGCUCUUCCAUUAUCUGAUUUAAAAUUUUCUACAACAAAUCCAUGAAUGUAUACAGUUCCAGGGUAGUACAUUUAUCCUUUAGAUGAAUAUUACCAUCAACAAUGCAUCGAGAUUAAUAAGUAUAUCUAAAAUUUAAUUUUUUUGAGUAAACACAUAUAUUUGUACUGGUCUUUAAUGUUCAUCAGUGGAUUUCAUCAUUUUUAAAUAUAAUUAUGUGGGAAAAAAAUCUAAUGAGUCCUUGAGCAAUCUUUUUAUUGUUUAUUCUUAACACAGAUAAAUUCUGACCAUCUAUUCUUAAUUUGUGCCAAUUUUUGGCUAUUUGUCAUUUCUUUUUUCGCAUAUUGUUUUUCUAGUUUGACUCCCAUAUUUUAUUCAUUGUGGGAAAAAUAUCACCAUUUAUUGAUUCUAUAAUAUAUUUCAUUGACUGUAUUUCUGUAAGUAUUAUUUUAUUUGUAUUAAUAUUCUUAUGGUGUCAUUCUUCUAAUGCUUUUUACUUGUGUAAUAUCGUGCACAAAAUUCUAGUUUUGAUGGAUUCAUUUUCAUGUCAUUUAUUCCAGAUCAUUUGUCAUGAAUUGCUGUAAUUUUACAGAUUCUUUUGGUUUCGUUUGCCCGUGUUUAUAUAUAAUUUAAACACACUUUAAAAACUUAAAAUAAGGACUAAUUUCUUAUCAAUUCCUGGCGCGUUCGCCAUUUAUUCAAAAAACUGACUCGUCCACAUAAUUCACUUCUAAUUUUUCUAGCAUUUUUUCCAAUGAAUUUUCCUGAGUAACAUCGACUCCAGAGCAUUAUAACUAGCCUCCCCGAAGAAGAGGAGACCUGGGUCACCCCCUAACCCUGAUGUUUGGGCAUCGAUGACCUGUGUAGCAUGCAGAGGUACCCAAGGGAGUCACCACCCUCUGGUUUACGAGCUAGGUGUUCUAACGCUAGAGGCUUCGGCCGGAUACGACCUGGCACCCAAGCUCCGAGACUUCUUCGUGCACGUAUUCCGUGACCCUCGAAGAGGCAGGGGGCGGGAUAUCGGACACAUUGAAGAUGAUGAGGGUGGUCCGCCUGUAGGGGGUCCCGGUGGAUGUCCGCUCGAUGGGUGACGAGGGUGACCCGAGACGAGGCUGCUUAGCUGGGAUGGGAACUGACUGGCGAGGCUUAAUCGUCGGAAAAGGGUUAAAUCUGAUGCAGGGUGGCGAACUUAUAUGCUCUGGAGAAUUUUUCCUUAUGUGCUUGAUGUCAUAUUUUGACUAGAUAUUUUUUAGAUGAGGCUAAGCAUAAUAUUUGGUCAAUUUUCCAGUUCUUAAAGACCAUAUACUUCUUUAUUUUUUUCUCUUACUUAUGGCCUACCUCUAUUUCAUUAUUUUUGUAUCCUACAUUUUCUUUAUUAUUGGAAUAUAUAUUCAUCAAUUCUAUAAACUCUUUUACUAUAUGUCUCCCAUAUUUUCUUCCUUGUGGGAAUGUCAUCAUUUUAUCUAUUCUAUAAACUCUUCCAUUGAUUGUAUUUUUUGUGUCAUUCUUCUGAGACUUUUUUUAAGUUCAUCGCACAUUUUUAUACAAUUUUUUUCAAUGCCACAUAGCUCUAUUUCUUAAUUUGUUUCUUCCAUGAACUCUUCUAUUGAUAUUUGUAUUUCUGAGUUAUCAGCCAUUAUUUUCUUGUAUUAUUUUUAAAAUAAAAAUACUGUAUCAUUCCGUGUCAAGUCUUAUCUAUGACAUUUUUUCAAAUCAUCAUACCCAUACAGAGUAAAACAAUUUAAUUUUUCUUAAAUGGAAUUUCUUAUUUUUCUUCUAUAUUGCUUGUAUUUCUAAAUAUCUUCUUUUAUGUGUAUUAUUGUUUAUAUUACUGCUAUUCUCCUGACUUAUAACUCUUUAUUUCAUUUCUAUUGAUGCCUACAUAGAAUUAUCUAGUUUUGGAUUUAUUUUCUAAUAAAUUUUCAUUUCAUUCCUUUUAAAAUUGAGUUUUUGAAUGGGAUAUUGUCCUGCUUUGGAACAAGGAUUUUUCGGGACAGCUGCACUUCAACAGCCUCCUUCAAAAUGCCAUUAGGAUGAUUAAAUUCCACAUUCAACAGUGGAUUGAGAAUGAAAUUCAUCAUUGAAGAGGAAGCUAAAUAAUAUGGAACCAAGACUUUCCAGAAGGAUAGUCAGAAGAUUUAUUUACCUCAACAUACACAUGAGCAUGUCCAUCGCCACCUUGGAUUAUAUUUUUUAAGUUACCC